UGAAGGAUAGAAACAUUUGCUGAGGAGCUCGGCCUAGUCGCCGGCUUCUUGCUUGACCUCGAAUCGGAGGCUGCCCCAGCCCAGGGUACUUACCGCCCAGUUUAAUUGAGAACUGGUACUUUUCUCGAUCGUGUUUGACGGCUGGGUGAGCGGAGGGGUGAGUGGAGCUGGUUCCCGGGCGGGCCGUACUCUUUCUAGGUAACAUCACCUUCAACAGAAUAACAAGGCGUGCCUUCAAGGUACAGUCCAAAUCAGAGGAUCCUCAGAUUUGAACACAGUGCCCCUGGUUGGGAAGCCCAUAUUUACUGUACUGCAUGGCUAGUCCAGCUCUCAAGGCUUCAUCGCAUCGUUGCACCACUUGAAUGGUUCUGCCUGGGACUGGACAUUGGCUCACCUCUUGAAACUGUGUAAAUCACACAACCUCAAAGCCCCUUUGUGUGCAAUGUCCAUUUGCUUACCCUCAGCUGUCAUUAGGUCUAACGUCCAUGGCUGCUUGGAGAUUUUAAGUGCUCUUCAGUAAAUUCUUAUAGUGUUCUCUUUUAGCAUUUUUAAUUUUCCCCUAACAACUUUAACCCACAGAAAACCUGGCACUUCCCCUCCAGAUCUCUGCUUUGAUUCAACCAGGAGACUAAGGGGUUACGCAUUCCCUGAAUGAUACUCACAAUACCCAACCCAGCUGGCCUCUUCUAGACCCUGUUCACACCUGGACCACUGAUCUGACACCCAGGGUGAAAAAUGUAACUUCUGGCUUGUUGGCCAAAAUCCAGCUAUACAGCAAGAGACAAAGGAAAGAUACAACUUUCUCAUGUGUUCAAAAUCUGUAGUAAUCAGGGAUUGGUUACUCCCUGAAUGGUCAGUUCUGUAAAUUGUCAAAGGUAAUGUCAUCCCUUAUGGACAGCAUCUCUAUGAACUGUUUCAAAAUGCCCUUUUUGACUGCUGUAAGACCCCCAAACAUUUCAUACGUUUGAAAAGCAUCACCCAGGCAUAUCUUCACAUUUUUUUUAAUUGGCGAAAGGAGUAAUAGUGAUGAGGAAAAGAUUUUUCACCUAGAGUGUGGUUGGAAUCUGGAACGAACUUCCUGAAAGGGCAGUGGAGACAGGUUUGACCAAGGUAUGCAAAAGGGAAUUGAAUUGCUAGCUGAAAAGAAGCAAUGUGCAAGGUUACGGUAUAAGACAGGGGAAUGGGACUAGGUAGAAUACUCUUUCAGAGAGCCAGUGCAGACUCGAUGGCUGAAUGGCCUCCUAUUAUAUAAAGAUCCUGUGAUUCUGUUUCAAGGUUUCUCACACCUCUGACCACAAUGAUAACCCCAUAAAAUCAGAAGAAGUUUUAAAAUUCCCAUAUUGAGGUCCGUCCUGUCAGUGUCUUGAUAAUCGUAGGUAUUUGUACCAUUGGCAUGCUUCCUGACCUCAUAUAAUCACAGGCUUUUGGUAUUUUCAUUGUCUGUUUCCUGCCUUAAGAAUGCAGCACACACAGGACACAAGACAAUUUAUAUUGAAUUCUGCUGAAGUGCUUGUUUGCUUAGUGGACCGUUACUAUUUUCCACUCACUUAACGCUUGUAUUCCCACAAAAAACAAGCUGGCAAAGUCAACAGUGGUCAAUCCAACUUAAUAUAUCAAGCCUAUGUGCAAUCUCAUACCAUAACAGGCAUAACUGAAGUCAUAGUAUGCAGCCCAAAAAUUAACCAGUUACAUCGUUAUUUCAGGCUUUUCAGUCCAUAUUACACAUUUCAUUAAAUAUUGUCAACUGGUUCGUUAAUCUAGGUACCAUGUCAUCAAACGAUGUACUGAUAUUGAUAAUAAAAAACUCUCAUAUUCAAAAAUGUAGUUCUGUAUUUGGAGCACUGAAAUAGAACAUCUCUAACUAACAAGAUAUUGAGUUUCAAUCAAAGUUAAAAGUACAUACAUUUGCUGUCAUUACCAUCGUUCUACAUGACAUAAAUCUUUCAAAUUUUACUGCUGUCAAAUUCAACAGUUUAACAAUUUCCAUCCCCCAGAACCCGGGCCCCUCACACACAUGACCUUGGAAAGCAAAAUGGCCAGUUUGUGAGAUGAUUGAAUCUGCCAAGACUAAUGGCAUUGAGGCCAUGCUGAUAUGAGUACAGCUACUCUGGUUUGGUCACUUUGAAGCUGACGUUAAUGCCUGUCCAUUGAGCAUUAUCUGGGUGGAGCCCAGAAAGGCAAGUCCAGUGGGGCAAGUCGCACAUUCUUACAGAACCUGUCGGAUUCUACUCCCAUUAUAAAAGUUAAUUUAAUUGUCUUGAGGUCUAUAUAUAAAAUUUUAAUAUUAAAGUCGGUGCUUUAAAAAAGUUCAGUUAGUCUGUGGCAAUUAUAAGUUGGUUGCAAAUAUCAUGUCAAUAAAGCAUGAAAAGAAAUCAAAA